UACGAAGGGGGCUAGCGUUGUUCGGAAUUACUGGGCUUAAAGGGCGCGUAGGCGGCUUGCCAAGUCAGGGGUGAAAUCCUGCAGCUUAACUGUAGAAGGGCCUUUGAUACUGGCGAGCUCGAGGGAGGUAGGGGUAUGUGGAACUUCCGGUGGAGCGGUGAAAUGCGUAGAUAUCGAGAGGAACACCUGCGGCGAAGGCGGGUUGCUGGGCUGACACUGACGCUGAAGCGCGAAAGCUAGGGGAGCGAACGGG
rnacentral:rRNA from 1 species